rnacentral:rRNA from 1 species
GUCCACGCCCUAAACGAUGCGAACUGGACGUUGGGAGCAACUUGGCUCUCAGUGUCGAAGCUAACGCGUUAAGUUCGCCGCCUGGGGAGUACGGUCGCAAGACUGAAACUCAAAGGAAUUGACGGGGGCCCGCACAAGCGGUGGAGUAUGUGGUUUAAUUCGAUGCAACGCGCAAGAACCUUACCUGGUCUUGACAUGUCGCGAACUGCCCAGAGAUGGGCGGGUCCUUGGGAAUGCGAACACAGGUGCUGCAUGGCUGUCGU